rnacentral:rRNA from 1 species
ACUCCUACGGGAGGCAGCAGUGGGGAAUAUUGCACAAUGGGGGAAACCCUGAUGCAGCCAUGCCGCGUGUGUGAAGAAGGCCUUCGGGUUGUAAAGCACUUUCAGUAGGGAGGAAGGUAGUGUAGUUAACACCUGCACUAUUUGUACGUUACCUACAGAAGAAGCACCGGCUAACUCCGUGCCAGCAGCCGCGGUAAGUACGGAGGGUGCGAGCGUUAAUCGGAAUUACUGGGCGUAAAGCGCAUGCAGGCGGCCUGUUAAGUCAGAUGUGAAAGCCCGGGGCUUAACCUCGGAAUUGCAUUUGAAACUGGCAGGCUAGAGUCUUGUAGAGGGGUUAGAA